rnacentral:rRNA from 1 species
UGAACGCUGGCGGCGUGCCUACUACAUGCAAGUCGAGCGAACAGACGAGGAGCUUGCUCCUCUGACGUUAGCGGCGGACGGGUGAGUAACACGUGGAUAACCUACCUAUAAGACUGGGAUAACUUCGGGAAACCGGAGCUAAUACCGGAUAAUAUAUUGAACCGCAUGGUUCAAUAGUGAAAGACGGUUUUGCUGUCACUUAUAGAUGGAUCCGCGCCGCAUUAGCUAGUUGGUAAGGUAACGGCUUACCAAGGCAACGAUGCGUAGCCGACCUGAGAGGGUGAUCGGCCACACUGGAACUGAGACACGGUCCAGACUCCUACGGGAGGCAGCAGUAGGGAAUCUUCCGCAAUGGGCGAAAGCCUGACGGAGCAACGCCGCGUGAGUGAUGAAGGUCUUCGGAUCGUAAAACUCUGUUAUUAGGGAAGAACAAAUGUGUAAGUAACUAUGCACGUCUUGACGGUACCUAAUCAGAAAGCCACGGCUAACUACGUG